rnacentral:lncRNA from 1 species
CAGUUCUCAAAAGGGACCCUAUGUUCUAACCAUGCUCUCACCAGGGCCUGACGACCUGAACAGUUCUACCCAUUCCUCGCAGCUUUGCCUGACUGUUUCACACACGUUUCCCCCUUCCCUGCCACGGCACCUCAGAACCUAACCAAAGCACCUGCACAAGGGCACCAGAGAGGAUUCGAGAGAAGUGUGUGAGACAGGCUUUGCCCUGGUCACGAAGAGGAACGUCAGUUCGGAGCGACAUGCGGUGAAAUGUAUUGUGCUUGGAAAUCCCAGGACCAGAAAGAGCAGAUGUGGCCCGAGUGAGCGGGAAGGAGCCUUGGAAGGGGUGUAUCAGAUUUCCCUAAGUCCUGG